rnacentral:rRNA from 1 species
CAAUAGCGUAUAUUUAAGUUGUUGCAGUUAAAAAGCUCGUAGUUGGAUUUUGGGUCGGGGGCACCGGUCCGCCGUUCCGGUGUGCACUGGUGGCCCCUUCCUUUCUGCCGGGGACGUGCGUCGCACUUAAUUGGGUGGCGUUCGGAGUCGGCGUUGUUACUUUGAAAAAAUUAGAGUGUUCAAAGCAAGCCAUCGCUCUGAAUACAUUAGCAUGGAAUAAUAAGAUAGGACUUUGGUGCUAUUUUGUUGGUUGAGCCUAAAGUAAUGAUUAAUAGGGAUAGUUGGGGGCACCUGUAUUGCGUUGUCAGAGGUGAAAUUCUUGGAUUUACGCAAGACAAACAGCUGCGAAAGCGUCUGCCAAGGAUGUUUUCAUUAA